rnacentral:rRNA from 1 species
UACGUAGGGACCAAGCGUUGUUCGGAUUUACUGGGCGUAAAGGGCGCGUAGGCGGCGCGGUAAGUCACUUGUGAAAUCUCUGAGCUUAACUCUGAACGGCCAAGUGAUACUGCAGUGCUAGAGUGUGGAAGGGGCAAUCGGAAUUCUUGGUGUAGCGGUGAAAUGCGUAGAUAUCAAGAGGAACACCAGAGGUGAAGGCGGGUUGCUGGGCCAACACUGACGCUGAGGCGCGAAAGCCAGGGGAGCAAACGGG